CAAACUGGAGAUGGCGACCGGCGCACGGGUGAGUAACACGUAUCCAACCUGCCGAUAACUCGGGGAUAGCCUUUCGAAAGAAAGAUUAAUACCCGAUGGCAUAGUUCUUCCGCAUGGUGGAACUAUUAAAGAAUUUCGGUCAUCGAUGGGGAUGCGUUCCAUUAGGUUGUUGGCGGGGUAACGGCCCACCAAGCCUUCGAUGGAUAGGGGUUCUGAGAGGAAGGUCCCCCACAUUGGAACUGAGACACGGUCCAAACUCCUACGGGAGGCAGCAUG
rnacentral:rRNA from 1 species